rnacentral:lncRNA from 12 species
AUGGACUUGACUAAUACCUGGCAGCUAAUCUUCGUCCUCACUUCCAGCUUAGGACCCACCAGACAAGAUCGAGCAUGCGCCCCCAGCCCAUCGCACGGGAUGAGGCCUCCCGUGAGCCCACCUGCAGCCCCCGCGGGGCACGUCGGGGCCUUCCCUUCUUUCCACCAUCCACGUGUUUUCCCGAUCCUCUGCCCGCCUGAGUCUCUGCCAAAAAAUACAAGCAAGGCCACGCGGGCUCUUGCUGCAGCCACGCACGGAGAAGUAGGCUUCGCCUUUCUCACGUGGCCGGCCGCUCCGCCUUCUCACCCAGGCCGCGGGCGGUGGGGUCUGACGCUCCUUCUGGCUCGGCGGCCACGGGCCCGCGCACGGCGGCAGGGGGACUCCCGGCCGGGAGAUGACGCUGGACGCUCCCCAGGCGGCCUCAAGUCCUGCUCAUUUGACCACAAAAUCGGCACAAAAUGCAGUCCCAUCUCCGUGGUCAAGGACAACAGCACAAACUUCCACAAGAUGGAUGCUGAGAACCACAAGAUCCCAAGAGGGUUAGCACGUGCUGGGCAAGAACUUCCCACUGUGGGUCACCCCAGACACGAUGGUCUGGGUUAGAAGGACACAGAUGACGAAACCCCAGGGUCCCGAUGAAAAGUUCAAGUUCAAGAGACUGCAGAGGGAAGCCUUGGCCAUCUCCAGAUUUUCCAGAGCAAAAGGCGGGCAGGGAGCAUCAGGACCAGAACCCCAGAGUCUAGGUUCCAGAAGGAGGAACCUCCUGAUGAGCUGUAACCCUACAAGGCAGCCAGGCAGGGAAGCAGGGUAGAGGUGGGAGAAAUGAGGGUCACCUCCCUCUCUUCUUUGCUCGGUCUCCUGCCAACACCUCCCACCAGCCAAGCUCCUAGAGUUCAGCUUCCCAGGCCAUGGAGCAGGACGAGGAAGGCAGGAUGGAUCUGAGGGCCUCAAGUAGAGCAUCCAGUUCCCAGGUGACCACCUCCUCGCGGAGGACAAGUUUAGGGUGGCCCCCAAUUUCCCACCUCCUAGAACUGAUGCCUUCAAUAAGCCCCUCCCCAAGUGUGGGCAGGACCUGCAAGGGGCUUUUAACCGAGAGAAAGUAGCAAAGCGGAGUGUGUGCCCCUCCUGUGGCAGGUUAUGCAUGACUGUCCUGUGUCUCUGGCCAAAGCCCCUGUGUCUGGCCGGUUUUACUGAAGCAAGUGCUGUGUUGGGAGGCAGCGAAUUGCAGGUAGCCUGUGCCUGGCAUCAGCGAGGUGCUGAGACCGGCCCCCCGCCAACGGCCUGCAGGAAGUGAAGGCCCUCUGUCCCACAGCACAAGGAACUGAGUGCCCCCAACAACCAUGUGAGCUUGGAAGGAGCUCCUUCCCCAGCCGAGCCUCCACAUGAGACCCCGGACUCAGCAACUACCUUGAUGGGAGCCCCAAGGAGGACCCAGAGGUGCCCAGACUCCUCCCCCAGGAACAGUGGGGCCAUCAGCAUGUGCCAUUUCAGGCUGCUGAGUGUGCGUUCGCGGCGUGUAGCACCAGGCAGUACGCUCAUCACAAGCCGCUCAAACAGCGCUAGCCAUCCUGGAUGGAGAUCUGCCGUGCUGAGGAGUAGAGGGUUACUUCUGCGCCUUCACUGAUCAUACAAAGUCCUAUGCAAAUACCAGCGAGCACUGGGCUCCCGGGACCCUUGAAUGGAUUCAUGUCCCAGAGUCUGUGACGGGGAAUGCAGCCAGGUUCAGGCAGGAUAAUGGCACCCCUUUCUUUUUUGGAGUUUCCAAAUCAUCGGAAGAUUCUCAGGUUCUUUUCUCCGCUGGCUACCACUCAAAGGCCUCGUUGUUAUAUUUACUCCACCAAAGCCACAGAUAAUGCUGCAUCAGCACUGCUAACUGAGCAUGUGGGCAUCGUCACCCUGUCUUGGUCUUCGCAGACCAAACACCACAGCCCUGGGGGCUUCAGUGACAGAUUUAUUCUCACAGUUCUGAAGGCCGAAAGUCCAAGAUCAAGGUCCCAACCAACUCACUGUCCGGUGCAAGCUCCCCUCCUGGCCCGUAGAUGGCCACGGUCUUGCUGUGUGCUCAUGUGGUAGGGAGGGGAGACAGAGAGACCAUGGCUGUCCCCGGGACACCCAUUGAUAGGAUGUAGGCUCCACCCAUAUGCCUCAUUUAACCUUCGUUACCUCCAGAAAGGCCCAUCUCCAAAUACAGUCACAGUGCGGGUUGGGGCUUCAUGACCUAAAUUGGGUGGGUGGGGGAAGUACACACAGUCCGUGGCCCAGGGGGUGGGAGUCUCUCCCUCAAUCGCCCACCUUGGCUUCUCUCUUCUUUCCUCUGCCAAUAAACAACGUUGCCAAACACUCA